UACGGGGGGGGGCAAGCGUUGUUCGGAAUUACUGGGCGUAAAGGGCGCGUAGGCGGCCCUCUAAGUCAGACGUGAAAUCCCACGGCUCAACCGUGGAACUGCGUCUGAUACUGGAGGGCUUGAAUCCGGGAGAGGGAUGUGGAAUUCCAGGUGUAGCGGUGAAAUGCGUAGAUAUCUGGAGGAACACCGGUGGCGAAGGCGGCAUCCUGGACCGGUAUUGACGCUGAGGCGCGAAAGCUAGGGGAGCAAACGGGG
rnacentral:rRNA from 1 species